CCUACGGGAGGCAGCAGUGGGGAAUAUUGGGCAAUGGGCGCAAGCCUGACCCAGCAACGCCGCGUGAAGGAAGAAGGCUUUCGGGUUGUAAACUUCUUUUGUCAGGGACGAAGCAAGUGACGGUACCUGACGAAUAAGCCACGGCUAACUACGUGCCAGCAGCCGCGGGAAUACGUAGGUGGCAAGCGUUAUCCGGAUUUACUGGGUGUAAAGGGCGUGUAGGCGGGGUGGCAAGUCAGAUGUGAAAACCACGGGCUCAACCUGUGGCCUGCAUUUGAAACUGUUUUUCUUGAGUGCUGGAGAGGUAAUCGGAAUUCGGUGUGUAGCGGUGAAAUGCGUAGAGAUACGGAGGAACACCAGUGGCGAAGGCGGAUUGCUGGACAGUAACUGACGCUGAGGCGCGAAAGCGUGGGGAGCAAACAGGAUUAGAUACCCCGGUAGUC
rnacentral:rRNA from 1 species